rnacentral:rRNA from 1 species
UACGGGGGGGGCAAGCGUUGUUCGGAAUUACUGGGCGUAAAGGGUUCGUAGGUGGCUUGCUCAGUCAGACGUGAAAUCCCUCAGCUUAACUGGGGAACUGCGUCUGAUACUGGCGAGCUUGAGUGCAGGAGAGGAACGCGGAAUUCCAGGUGUAGCGGUGAAAUGCGUAGAUAUCUGGAGGAACACCGGUGGCGAAGGCGGCGUUCUGGACAGUGACUGACGCUGAGACGCGAAAGCGUGGGGAGCAAACAGG